AAAGUUAAUUAAACUGGAGUAAUAGUAGUUAUGGCCUUGAAAUUCAAAGAAUUUGGCGGUAUCUUAAUCCAAUUAGAGGAACCUGUUUCAUAAACGAUACACCACGAAAAAUCUUACUUACUUUAUAUUAGUUUGUAUACCGUCAUUAUUAGAUAAUUUUUAAAGAAAAAAUUAUUUAAAAAUAAUAAUAUUAAAUAUAUUAGAUCAAGGUGCAAUUUAUAGGUAAGAAGAUAAUGGGUUACAAUAAAUUUAUUUAAAUGGAGUUAAGGUUUAAAAUUUUAAUGAAAACGGAUUUAAUUGUACACUUAGUUAAU
rnacentral:rRNA from 1 species